GGUUGUGGCUCAGUGGUAGAGCACAUACCUUACACACAUGAGACCCUGGGUUCAAUCCUCAGCACCA
rnacentral:tRNA from 1 species